AACGGCCGCGCUGCGACAGGUUCCCCGGCGACGGGGAUGAAAAUGGGAACGGAUAACAUCCGGCUGCCCCUGCAACUGUAUGCGGUGAGUCAUCGGCCAUAUGCCAUUGGAAGCGCAGCUUCCGAGAAGGCGACCGACCGGCGUUGACCCGCAAGCCAGGAGACCUGCCCGUCGCCGUCGUCUUUCG
rnacentral:ncRNA from 16 species